CCAGCAGCUGCGGUAAUUCCAGCUCCAAUAGCGUAUAUUAAAGUUGUUGCAGUUAAAAAGCUCGUAGUUGGAUUUCAGGGCCUGGAGUGUGGUCCGCCGCAAGGCGAGCACCGCAAUCUCUGGGACCACCUUCCCGAGGACCCGUGUGCCCUUAACUGGGUGUGCGUGGGAGUCGGGGACUUUACUUUGAAAAAAUUAGAGUGUUCAAAGCAGGCGUUUGCUUGAAUACAUUAGCAUGGAAUAAUGGAAUAGGACUUUGGUUCUAUUUUGUUGGUUUCUAGGACCGAAGUAAUGAUUAAUAGGGACAGUUGGGGGCAUUAGUAUUUAAUUGUCAGAGGUGAAAUUCUUGG
rnacentral:rRNA from 1 species